GCUUACGGCCAUACCACCUUGGGCACGCCCGAUCUCGUCUGAUCUCGGAAGUUAAGCAGUGUCGGGCCUGGUAAGUACUUGGAUGGGUGACCGCCUGGGAAUACCAGGUGCUGUAAGCA
rnacentral:rRNA from 10 species